rnacentral:lncRNA from 1 species
CCCAAAAUUUUCUUUCUUCUCGCAUUUCGAGUUAUCCAUUUUGUGCGAUCUGAUUUUCUCUUGAUCCUCCCAGAUCAAGACUUCCCCAUUUAGGGGAUUCAAGUCCUUUUGAAUCUUCAAAACUUGAGAUGAGGAAACUUGACCUCACCAGCUUCCUUAGUGAACCAUCUUGAAGCACUUGGUCUUUGUCCGUUGCACCCG